rnacentral:rRNA from 1 species
GUGCCAGCCGCCGCGGUAAGACGAACCGUGCGAACGUUAUUCGGAAUCACUGGGCUUAAAGGGCGCGUAGGCGGGUCCGGCAGUCAGGGGUGAAAUCCCACGGCCCAACCGUGGAAGUGCCUCUGAUACUUCGGACCUCGAGGGAGGUAGGGGCGUGCGGAACUCAGGGUGGAGCGGUGAAAUGCGUAGAUAUCCUGAGGAACACCGGUGGCGAAAGCGGCGCGCUGGAUCUCUUCUGACGCUGAGGCGCGAAAGCCAGGGGAGCAAACGGGAUUAGAAACCCGCGUAGUCC